rnacentral:rRNA from 1 species
UGGGGAAUAUUGGACAAUGGAGGAAACUCUGAUCCAGCAAUUCUGUGUGUGUGAAGAAGGUUUUAGGACUGUAAAACACUUUUAGUAGGGAAGAAAAAAAAUGACGGUACCUACAGAAGAAGCAACGGCUAAAUACGUGCCAGCAGCCGCGGUAAUACGUAUGUUGCGAGCGUUAUCCGGAAUUAUUGGGCUUAAAGGGCAUCUAGGCGGUAAGACAAGUUGAAGGUGAAAACCUGUGGCUCAACCAUAGGCUUGCCUACAAAACUGUUGAACUAGAGUACUGGAAAGGUGGGUGGAACUACACGAGUAGAGGUGAAAUUCGUAGAUAUGUGUAGGAAUGCCGAUGAUGAAGAUAACUCACUGGACAGAAACUGACGCUGAAGUGCGAAAGCUAGGGGAGCAAACAGG